AUAUUUAUAACCAAUUACCAA
rnacentral:sRNA from 1 species